rnacentral:rRNA from 1 species
AACUGAAGAGUUUGAUCCUGGCUCAGAUUGAACGCUGGCGGCAUGCCUAACACAUGCAANNAUGCUUAACACAUGCAAGUCGAACGGUAACAGGCCGCUGUGAUCCCUUCGGGGUGAACUUGGUGCUGACGAGUGGCGGACGGGUGAGUAAUGCAUAGGAAUCUGCCCAGUAGUGGGGGACAACUUGGGGAAACUGAAGCUAAUACCGCAUACGCCCUACGGGGGAAAGCGGGGGACCUUCGGGCCUCGCGCUAUUGGAUGAGCCUAUGUCUGAUUAGCUUGUUGGUGAGGUAAAGGCUCACCAAGGCGACGAUCAGUAGCUGGUCUGAGAGGAUGAUCAGCCACACUGGAACUGAGACACGGUCCAGACUCCUACGGGAGGCAGCAGUGGGGAAUAUUGGACAAUGGGGGCAACCCUGAUCCAGC